rnacentral:rRNA from 1 species
AAUGAACGCUGGCGGCAUGCCUACACAUGCAAGUCGAACGGCAGCAUGACCUAGCUUGCUAGGUUGAUGGCGAGUGGCGAACGGGUGAGUAAUGCAACGGAACGUGCCUUUUAGUGGGGGAUAACGUAGCGAAAGUUACGCCAAUACCGCAUAUUCUCUGAGGAGGAAAGCAGGGGACCUUCGGGCCUUGCGCUAGAAGAGCGGCCGAUGUCGGAUUAGCUAGUUGGUGAGGUAAAGGCUCACCAAGGCAACGAUCCGUAGCGGGUCUGAGAGGAUGAUCCGCCACACUGGGACUGAGACACGGCCCAGACUCCUACGGGAGGCAGCAGUGGGGAAUUUUGGACAAUGGGCGCAAGCCUGAUCCAGCCAUGCCGCGUGAGUGAAGAAGGCCUUCGGGUUGUAAAGCUCUUUCGGCUGGGAAGAAAUCGCACCCUCUAAUACAGGGUGUGGAUGACGGUACCAGCAUAAGAAGCACCGGCUAACUACGUG